CCUUAUUCUAAGGCGCUUGAGAGAACUCAGGAGAAGGAACUCGGCAAAUUGACACCGUAACUUCGGAAGAAGGUGUGCCUUUAGUAGGUGAACCUGUACAAGGGGAGCCCAAUGAGGUUGCAAAAAAUCGGUGGCUGCGACUGUUUAAUAAAAACACAGCACUCUGCAAACACGAAAGUGGACGUAUAGGGUGUGACGCCUGCCCGGUGCUGGAAGAUUAAAUGAUGGGGUGCAAGCUCUUGAUUGAAGUCCCAGUAAACGGCGGCCGUAACGAUAACGGUCCUAAGGUAGCGAAAUUCCUUGUCGGGUAAGUUCCGACCUGCACGAAUGGCGUAACGAUGGCCACACUGUCUCCUCCUGAGACUCAGCGAAGUUGAAAUGUUUGUGAUGAUGCAAUCUCCCCGCGGAAAGACGGAAAGACCCCAUGAACCUUUACUGUAGCUUUGUAUUGGACUUUGAACAGAUCUGUGUAGGAUAGGUGGGAGGCUUUGAAGUGUGGUCGCUAGAUCGCAUGGAGCCAACGUUGAAAUACCACCCUGGUGUGUUUGAGGUUCUAACCUAGGCCCGUAAUCCGGGUCGGGGACAGUGCAUGGUAGGCAGUUUGACUGGGGCGGUCUCCUCCCAAAGCGUAACGGAGGAGUUCGAAGGUACGCUAGGUACGGUCGGACAUCGUGCUAAUAGUGCAAUGGCAUAAGCGUGCUUAACUGCGAGACUGACAAGUCGAGCAGAUGCGAAAGCAGGACAUAGUGAUCCGGUGGUUCUGUAUGGAAGGGCCAUCGCUCAACGGAUAAAAGGUACUCUGGGGAUAACAGGCUGAUACCGCCCAAGAGUUCAUAUCGACGGCGGUGUUUGGCACCUCGAUGUCGGCUCAUCUCAUCCUGGGGCUGUAGCCGGUCCCAAGGGUAUGGCUGUUCGCCAUUUAAAGAGGUACGUGAGCUGGGUUUAAAACGUCGUGAGACAGUUUGGUCCCUAUCUUCCGUGGGCGCUGCAGAUUUGAGGAAGCCUGCUCCUAGUACGAGAGGACCGGAGUGGACACACCUCUGGUGUAUCGGUUGUCACGCCAGUGGCAUUGCCGAGUAGCUAUGUGUGGAAGAGAUAACCGCUGAAAGCAUCUAAGCGGGAAACUCGUUUCAAGAUGAGAUCUGCCGGGGCCUUGAGCCCCCUAAAGAGUCGUUCAAGACCAGGACGUUGAUAGGUCGGGUGUGGAAGCGCAGUAAUGCGUUAAGCUAACCGAUACUAAUUGCUCGUGCGGCUUGACCA
rnacentral:rRNA from 1 species